ACCAUUAAAAAUAAUUAUUUUAUUUAGAAUUUUGUCUACAAAAACAAAUGAAAUAAAGUAGAAAAUACUAUGAAAGGUUUUUAAAAUAUUAGCCUCUGAUUGUCAUGUUAUAUAUAUCACGUGACCCAGCUUCGUUACAUUGAUACAUUCCCUUGUUCUUCUUUGAGAACAUAUACCAUGGCAGCAGACUAACUCCAUUGUCCCCUUGUCACCAGAAUUAUUCAUGUGCCAACCACUCGUACGAUCUUCAAGCAAACUCUUUGAAGUUUGGAAUUUUACUCUCUUGUUGAUUUAAUUUGUAUGGCUCUGUAUGUGACGUUUUAUUUCAUUGGUGGUGACCCUUCUAGUUGCCCUUCCGCAGCCAUUGUUUUUUUUGGUCAUCAGGGAUGGUCUGACAUUCAUAUUAUGUGAAGACUCUUACCAAAAAGAGUAGAUCUUUAAGGUUGGACGACAACUCAAAUGCCUUAAAGUUUCUAGUUGUGUUCACAAGUCACAAAACAUCAUCAAAAAAGUUCAUGGGUCUUACCAAGAACAUCUUUUGAGAUCGCUGGAUGAUUUCUUUAGUUCCUUAUUAUUCCUCUAGUGGUUGGUGAUAUCUGGUCAACGAUGGAGAUUAAUAUUAUCACUCAUGAUCUAUAACUUCAUUUAUUCACCUUUAAUUUUCUUGUACCUGUGGUUGAGGAAACCAAAUAAAAAAUAUUUCAUGUGAGUAGUUAAAUAAUCAUGGUAAUGACUAACGAAGUUCACUUAAAACCCUAAUAUCACUUCAUUCUCCUUAAAUCACAUCAACAUUUGCUGGACAUAGUUACCUAGCGAAAGAACAAUCUUAGAAAAAAAAACAAACAUACACGUUGAACUCUAGCCAUCUAGCACCGUAAACUCGGGAAAAUGGCUCGUUGUUCUAUGUGUUAUCGAAUGGCUUGAAACAUGUACCAAAACUCAAUUUAAAAAUUUGAGUAAUGGGAUAAAACCCAUGCAUUGGAGCGCUGUUUAGUUGAUUAACCAUAUCUAUAUCUCUUUACAUUAACCACUAUGGUCUGGAAGAUUAAAGAAGGUUAAUAGAAAAUUGAAGGAAAGUAAGAGUCAGUUUUGUAAUCUUAUCUUCUAAAAACUCUGCUUCACUAAACGAAAUCAAAGAAGCAGCUAAAUACCUAAGAAACCAUAGUUCCAAGUGCUGUUUCCUUUCUAAUACGGAACAGAAAUGCCAUCUGUUUGAUUUUCAAGAUAAUGAAAAACAGUGGAGCAAUUCUUCUUAAUUACCAAGAUAUGUGAGUGGGAAAAAGGUCGAACCUCAUAGAUGAUAUCGAAGAAGCGUGUCGGUCGAAUCAGUGGGUAUAGAGAUGAAUGGAGGCUAUCCCCAGUUAAAGGAAUCUGUACCAAACUGAAACAUCUUCUACUCAGUCAAAUCGCAAUCUGACUUAUUUCACAAACGCAAAAAAAAGCUCAUUGUGUAGAACAAAUUGUAUAAACGAUGUUAUAGAAUCGACCUUCUUACUAUUGAACGGUACGUAGAGAUGGAAUCGGGCUCUUGUUCCUAUUGAACGA
rnacentral:lncRNA from 1 species